AGGCACAUAGCUCAGUUGGUUAGAGCACCCCCUUGACAUGGUGGGGGGCGUUGGUUCGAGUCCAAUUGUGCCUACCA
rnacentral:tRNA from 1 species